UACGUAGGGGGCAAGCGUUGUCCGGAAUCAUUGGGCGUAAAGAGCGUGUAGGCGGCCCGAUAAGUCCGCCGUGAAAGUCCAGGGCUCAACCCUGGGAUGCCGGUGGAAACUGUCGGGCUAGAGUCCGGAAGAGGCGAGCGGAACAGACGGUGGAGCGGUGAAAUGCGUAGAUAUCGUCUGGAACGCCGAAGGUGAAAACAGCUCGCUGGGGUUGUGCUGACGCUGAGACACGAAAGCCAGGGGAGCGAACGGG
rnacentral:rRNA from 1 species